CGCCAUUUUAUUGAGAAAAACUACAUUACCCACAAUCCUAAGCGAAACAGCAACGUUUCUGAUUGGUCCAACUCGCUAUUACCAUAGAAACGUUUACCGUACCCGCGAAACGCUA